AUGGUUGCUCAGCAGCAGCAGCCCCCACAAUCUCCACAGUGCCCGGGAGCCAUGCAGGCAGCCCGGCACGGGAGCAGGGAGCAGGGCAGCUCUCCUUUCCUUUGCGGGUGGCUCAGUCCCGCCCGGCUCCGCUGCCCUGCUCCCGCAUCCCUCCCCUGCCGCGAGCUCUUCCUCCGGCCGCUCUGCCCGCCUGCGAGGCUGCUUGCCGAAAAUAACCUUCAAAAGGAUAGAUUAAUCCCACGGAGCGGGGUGGGAGCAACUCAAAGUGCUCCGGAGCCACUAAUGUCCUGCGCGCAUCGUGCCGGGGAGGAGCAGGAGGAGCUGCAGCCCGAGCCGAGGGCAGGGGCGACCGGUCCCCGAGCGCUCGGGGAUGCGGAGCUGCUGUACCCGCUCCGUACGGGGCAUGUGAAUUGCAGGCACCACCGUCGCCGCCGCCCCCCGCCGCCCCCCCGAGCUCCCAGAAAAUCCCGGCGGCACCCGGGCACCGCAGCUGCAGCCCGGCUUCCAGCAUCGCUCCGAGCGCACCAGCCAUGGAGCCGGCAGCGUGCCGAGGGGAAAUGCCGCCUCUCCGCUGUCUGCGAGCUGUCCCGGCCCAGCGGUACCACCGAGAGGGGCAGAGCCCGCAAUGCUAACUUCUGUCUCGCCGCUCUCGGGCUCCUGAGGGGCUUCUCUACAGUGAAACGCUCAGAGCAGUUCACUGCUCCAUCCCGGGCUGCUUGGGCUGCCAUCGUCCAGCUUCCACCUCUUCUGCCUCGCGAGCUCCCGGGACCUCCGCCGGCUCCCAGGCACCGCGGCUCCCGGCAUGGAGCCAGCGGGGACCCCGGCCAAGCGGCUCCUCGGGACCAAGGGUUCAUCUUGACUUGCAGGUCAAACUCGUUCUCCUCCAUAUUCGCUCUUUCCUUCUCUCCUUCUCCGCCUCCUCGGCUUUUUGGUGCUGUUCAAUCUCGAAUGACAAUUUUAAAACCAACCCACAGAGGAAACUGUGUGAAGGAGACAUUUUCAAGAAAUUAUAUCAUAAAACAAAAUUGA
rnacentral:lncRNA from 1 species